rnacentral:snoRNA from 1 species
UCGUCUCUGUGUUACUUGAAUAACAAAAUCGAUUUGUAUUCGAGCGUCAAAAGAGACGAAAAUUAAUUCUUGUUUUUCCACAAGUUAAUGUGUUGGCAUAUUUAACUUACUAAAAGCAAGAAACAUUG